GAUGAACGCUGGCGGCGUGCUUAACACAUGCAAGUCGAACGGAAAGGCCCCUGCUUGCAGGGGUACUCGAGUGGCGAACGGGUGAGUAACACGUGGGUGAUCUGCCCUUCACUUCGGGAUAAGCCUGGGAAACUGGGUCUAAUACCGGAUAGGACGAUGGUUUGGAUGGCGUUGUGGAGAGUUUUUCGGUGUGGGAUGAGCUCGCGGCCUAUCAGCUUGUUGGUGGGGUAAUGGCCUACCAGGGCGUCGACGGGUAGCCGGCCUGAGAGGGUGUACGGCCACAUUGGGACUGAGAUACGGCCCAGACUCCUACGGGAGGCAGCAGUGGGGAAUAUUGCACAAUGGGCGCAAGCCUGAUGCAGCGACGCCGCGUGGGGGAUGACGGCCUUCGGGUUGUAAACUGCUUUCGCUAGGGACGAAGCGCAAGUGACGGUACCUGGUGAAGAAGCACCGGCUAACUACGUG
rnacentral:rRNA from 1 species